AUGAGUAUAGCCCACGAGGCAGCCCCCCUCUUCCCACUCCGGUCACCCUCUGCUCUUGAGGCCCCCAGCUCUGCUCCAUCUGUGUCUGUGGUGCACCUGCUGCCCACCCUGUCCCCUCUCGGCCCUGAGGUGUCAGCUGUCCCUCUGCUGGGCUCUCCGUGUCCUGCAUCUUCUGACCUUGGGAGGCUUGUGUGUGAGCCCAGGGGGUGGGUGUCCUCAGGAGCAGGGGGGUGCCUGGGGACACCUCACGUCCCAGGAUCAUGCUGCCAGCCACAGGGUCAGGCCAGCCAUGGAAGGACACAGGGCAGUGACUGUUCAUGGCCAUCUUUAUUCCCAGUGCUGGCUAUCCCAAGAUACUGCCAGGCUACGGCCAGCCCCACCUCUGCCAAUGUGACUGGAUCACCACCCCAUACCCCAGAGCAGCCUCGAGCCCUGCCCCACCCCUGCCCUGCGGAAGCCAAGUCCCCAGCUAUAAGCCCCUGCCCCUCCUGGUGGCCCAGGACUCUCAAAGGUGCACACAGGGGUCCUAGCGAGGGGCCCCUCGGUCAUCAGCCUUCUCCUCCAGGCUGGGCCGCCCAGCAGCCCGGAGCUGAGUCUGUCCCUCAGACGCUGGGCCACGUCACCUUCUCCUCCUCCAGGAGGCUUCACCUAUGGGCCCAGGAAGUCCUCCUUCCGAUAGCCCUUCUACAGUGGAGAGAGGCCCAAGGUCAGGGUGCAUGUCUGCCCGUGCAGCCCUCUGCCCUCUGUCCCUCCUGCAGUGUGCGGGGUGUGGCCCGGACCCUUCCCCUCUGGGUCCCUGGUCUCCAUUCUCCCAUUGGCCUCUUCACUGUCUGCUCCACGUGGGUUUCGGUGACCCUCCCCCGGCAUCCCAUGCCCUGCACCGGGUCCCGGCUCGCUCUGGGCUCGGGAGACGUACCGCCCGGAAGUCACGGUGGAGCUUGUUGUACUGCCACAGGUUGGCCAGGAGGCUGGACGCUGCCCGGGAGGACUUCUCACUGUCGGGGCUGA
rnacentral:lncRNA from 1 species